CAAAAGCGCCAUGCACCUGCCUUCUGGCAGGUUGACGAGGAGAAAGGUGAUCGAAAAUUCGGCGGAUGCCUUUCCGUACCUUCCAGUGCGUCAGAGACCGGCAAAUAUGCGGGUGACUGCAAAACAAAUACGGGCUCA
rnacentral:ncRNA from 1 species